rnacentral:rRNA from 1 species
CCUACGGGGCUGCAGCAGUGGGGAAUAUUGGACAAUGGGCGAAAGCCUGAUCCAGCCAUGCCGCGUGUGUGAAGAAGGCCUUCGGGUUGUAAAGCACUUUCAGUGGGGAAGAAAGCCUUGGGGCUAAUACCCUCGAGGAAGGACAUCACCCACAGAAGAAGCACCGGCUAACUCCGUGCCAGCAGCCGCGGUAAUACGGAGGGUGCGAGCGUUAAUCGGAAUUACUGGGCGUAAAGCGCGCGUAGGCGGUCUGAUAAGCCGGUUGUGAAAGCCCCGGGCUCAACCUGGGAACGGCAUCCGGAACUGUCAGGCUAGAGUGCAGGAGAGGAAGGUAGAAUUCCCGGUGUAGCGGUGAAAUGCGUAGAGAUCGGGAGGAAUACCAGUGGCGAAGGCGGCCUUCUGGACUGACACUGACGCUGAGGUGCGAAAGCGUGGGUAGCAAACAGGAUUAGAUACCCGUGUAGUC